AGGGGCGCUGCUUGCUAUUUGCUGACGACCGGCGCACGGGUGCGGAACGCGUAUGGAACCUGCCCCUGUCAGGGGAAUAGCCCAGAGAAAUUUGGAUUAAUGCCCCAUGGUAACGACAGAUCGCAUGAUCUGUUGUUUAAAGAUUUAUCGGACAGGGAUGGCCAUGCGUACCAUUAGCUGGUUGGUAAGGUAACGGCUUACCAAGGCAACGAUGGUUAGGGGCCCUGAGAGGGGGAUCCCCCACACUGGUACUGAGACACGGACCAGACUCCUACGGGAGGCAGCAGUGAGGAAUAUUGGACAAUGGGCGGGAGCCUGAUCCAGCCAUGCCGCGUGCAGGAUGACUGCCCUAUGGGUUGUAAACUGCUUUUAUACGGGAAGAAACCUAUCCACGUGUGGAUAGCUGACGGUACCGUAAGAAUAAGGACCGGCUAACUCCGUGCCAGCAGCCGCGGUAAUACGGAGGGUCCGAGCGUUAUCCGGAAUCAUUGGGUUUAAAGGGUCCGUAGGCGGGCGUAUAAGUCAGGGGUGAUAGUUUGCGGCUCAACCGUAAAAUUGCCUUUGAUACUGUACGUCUUGAGUUAUAGUGGAGUUGCCGGAACAUGUGGUGUAGCGGUGAAAUGCAUAGAUAUCACAUAGAACACCGAUCG
rnacentral:rRNA from 1 species